CGGAGGAAAAGAAACUAACAAGGAUUCCCCUAGUAACUGCGAGUGAAGCGGGAAAAGCUCAAAUUUAAAAUCUGGCAGUCUUUGAUUGUCCGAGUUGUAAACUAGAGAAGUGUUAUCCGCGCUGGACCGUGUAAAAGUCUCCUGGAAUGGAGCAUCAUAGAGGGUGAGAAUCCCGUCUUUGACAUGGACUACCAGUGCUUUGUGAUGCGCUCUCAAAGAGUCGAGUUGUUUGGGAAUGCAGCUCAAAAUGGGUGGUAAAUUCCAUCUAAAGCUAAAUAUUGGCGAGAGACCGAUAGCGAACAAGUACCGUGAGGGAAAGAUGAAAAGAACUUUGGAAAGAGAGUUAAACAGUACGUGAAAUUGCUGAAAGGGAAACGCUUGAAGUCAGUCGCGUCGGCCAGGAAUCAACCUUGCUUUUGCUGGGCGUACUUUCUGGUUGACGGGUCAGCAUCAAUUUUGACUGCUGGAAAAAGUUCAAGGGAAUGUGGCAUCUUCGGAUGUGUUAUAGCCCUUGUUCGCAUACAGCAGUUGGGAUUGAGGUACUCAGCACGCCGCAAGGCCGGGUUUCGACCACGUUCGUGCUUAGGAUGCUGGCAUAAUGGCUUUAAUCGACCCGUCUUGAAACACGGACCAAGGAGUCUAACAUGCCUGCGAGUGUUUGGGUGGAAAACCCAAGCGCGCAAUGAAAGUAAAAGUUGAGAUCCCUGUCAUGGGGAGCAUCGACGCCCGGACCAGAGCUUUUGUGACGGAUCUGCGGUAGAGCAUGUAUGUUGGGACCCGAAAGAUGGUGAACUAUGCCUGAAUAGGGUGAAGCCAGAGGAAACUCUGGUGGAGGCUCGUAGCGAUUCUGACGUGCAAAUCGAUCGUCAAAUUUGGGUAUAGGGGCGAAAGACUAAUCGAACC
rnacentral:rRNA from 1 species